rnacentral:rRNA from 1 species
UACAGAGGGUGCAAGCGUUGCUCGGAAUCAUUGGGCGUAAAGGGCAAGUAGGUGGUCUCAUUUGUCUAGGGUGAAAUCCUUGAGCUUAACUCAAGAAGUGCCCUAGAAACGGUGAGACUCGAGUACUGGAGAGGGUCGUGGAAUUCCCGGUGUAGCGGUGAAAUGCGUAGAGAUCGGGAGGAACACCAGAGGCGAAGGCGGCGACCUGGACAGUUACUGACACUCAACUGCGAAAGCGUGGGGAGCAAACAGGG